rnacentral:rRNA from 1 species
UACGUAGGGUGCAAGCGUUGUCCGGAAUUAUUGGGCGUAAAGAGCUCGUAGGCGGUUUGUCGCGUCUGCUGUGAAAACGCGAGGCUUAACCUCGCGCCUGCAGUGGGUACGGGCAGACUAGAGUGCGGUAGGGGUGACUGGAAUUCCUGGUGUAGCGGUGAAAUGCGCAGAUAUCAGGAGGAACACCGGUGGCGAAGGCGGAUCUCUGGGCCGAUAACUGACGCUGGAGGCUACGAAAGCGUAGGGGAGCAAACAGGAUUAGAACCGGUACGUCAGAC